GUGCUUCCUCACAUUAUCACCAAGAUGAAACUGGACAAAUAUCCAAGAAGCAGUUACUCACAAAAAACAAAACUGUGCAAUCCAAAUAUAUAAUACUCCUGACCUGGAAGGAUGACAAAUGUUCUUCACAUGAAACACAGCAAGGUUGGGACUCUUCAGGCUUGCCUUCUGCAAAUAGUUGGGUAGAAAAACCUUAUUGCAGACAUGGAAAAACUGUGCAGAAAACCCUCUGAUUCUGAGAAUCUCCAAUAUGAAGAAAUACUUUUGAAGGCAGUAACAUAAUGAAUAGAAAAUAAAGAAUACGCAGAAAAAAAAAGAAUUGAACGU
rnacentral:lncRNA from 1 species